GCCGGGCGCCAUGGCUGACGCCUGUAAUCCCAGCACUCUGGGAGGCUGAGGCAGGUGGAUCACCUGAGGUCAGGAGUUUGAGACCAGCCUGGCCAACAUGGUGAAACCCCGUCUCUA
rnacentral:SRP_RNA from 1 species